ensembl:lncRNA
AGAAGAAAGGCACACUAGAGGAGCUCCUACAGACAUGCUCUCAGAUUUCAGCCCAUCUGGGUGAGGCAGAGGGACCUGUGGCCUUCAUUGAACCUUUUAGGACUUUACAGGAGAGAUGGCAAACUAUAGAGCGGGUUGCCUCCAGCAGUCUGUGGUGUGCUAACAUCUGCACAGCAGAAGUAUCUGCACUCCUGCAAGAAGCCAGAGAUCUGCACCAUGAACUGGUGCUUCUGGAGAAGUCAGUUUCUCUUCCACAUCCCUCUCAAGGACAGAUGGACUGCCGAAGUGAGCUACAAGAAACUGUCAGAACUGCAGACCUGGCAGCAUUAACAGAGCUCUACUUAUACCUUCUUGAGGUCUCUCAGGCUCUUUCCUCAAGUCCGCUGGGAAAAAAAGAGCUCAGAGAUAUGGAGGACGCAAUGCAGGGCUUGAAUUCUCAGCUUGCGUUGACUCAGGAGAAGCUCAGCUCCCAGACUUCGAAUGGCAAUGGCUGUUCACCGAUCUCGAGGAUUAUCAAGGACUACGUUACAUGGGCUAAACAAACAGAAAGCAAAGUCAGCAGGAGUAGGAGGUUGGCUCUGUUUCCUGAAGAGGCAAGUCACCAGGUCAACCACAUGAAGAAACUGCAGUCUGAAACAUCUCUUAAGAAGAUUCAGUUGGCCUCUGUAUUGAAAGAGCUAAGAGAGGAAGUUACAGGACUCGACAAGGAGGAUUCAAUGUCUCCCAUCCUUGCUUCCCUAGAGGAUUUGUACGUUAAGAUUACAGAGAAGACCGAAUGUGCUGUUGCAGAAAUGAACAGAAUGUUUCAAAUAAGAGAGAGACUGUGGAAACAGAUCACUGACAGCAGCUCUUGGUUAACCUCAGUAUUAGAAAAAGAGUCUGGUAAAACAGUGGCUUCUAAACCUAAAACUACAAUCCCAGAAUUGAGGGUUCAGCUUCAGGUAUGCACAGAGGCUUUGAAGGAAGCCGAGAGACAAGCAAAUAACUUGGAGACUCUGUUAGAUGAAAUAAAAAAUGUGAAUCACGGUCUGAGUGUACCCGAAAGCUUUCAGCUUAUGAAUAGGCUAACAGCCUUACAAGAAGAGGUCUCUAGGGUUGUGAACCGUAAGUGGGCCUUGCACUGGGUGCUUGAAGAACUCCUUCAUGCUCAGGAAUCUUCUGCUGAGGAGCAAAACGUCAUUCUGAAGAGCUUGAGACAGAUGAGUGCUGAUGUCAUGAGGCAGAAGUAUCCCGUAACAAGGGACUCACUCUUGGCUCUUGAACCUGUUCAGCACAUCCUGAUGGAGCUCCUGUGCAAGGUGCCAGAAAUUCCACACUGCCCGGAUUCUCGGAGGAAAGAGAUGCUCAACGCUGUACUAGACCUACAGAGGAGAAUGGAUCUGCUGGAGUUGCAAGCGAAAGAUCAUGAGGAGUACCUCAUUUUAAGGCAGUACAUGGAGAACUCCAGAGAGGUGGUGAAGAAGAGCUGGUCGCAGAUUGUAGACUCAAGUGUAGGAGCUAACAUAAGGCUCGGCUAUUGUCAGGCUGUCUUGGUGGAGCUAGCUCUGGUGAGAAUGACAUGUCAAGAAGCCGCUGACCACCUUGAGGCUAUUUCGAAAGAUCUCUAUCCAUCUCAGCUGACAGCAGAAAGGCAAAAAAUCCAUUUGGUCAUUGAGCAGCUCUCCUCUUGGGAGCUCACAGUAAAAAAUGAGGCUAAAACCCUUGAGUGCUCUCUGGCGGAGCGACUCGGCAGUCCUGCAGACCUCAGUCCAUUCACUGAGCUCUUCAUCAGUGUCAGGCAGCAGCUGAAGCAGAGCAUCUCCUUGGAGCCAGAUAAUGAGACCAUUGAUGCAGAGCUACGCAAGCACUGGAUGCGAAUCCAGACCACUGAGUCUGUUCUACGAAUGCUGGAGCACUGCAGGAAAGCAGUAGAUGCUGAAAGCUACCAGAUGACCAUUGGUCUUGGCCAGAAAACUCUUAAUGAUUACGGUAUGCAUAUGGACAAGCUGCUCCAAGCUCGGGAGGCACUGAAGCGUUACCACUCGGCUGUUCAGGGUGCAGAGAUCUUCUUUCAGCAGAUAAGAUCCAAUCUCAUGAUCCCCUCUGAUGGCUUCAAAGGCUACAAAGAGGAGCAUUGCUAUAUUCAACAGAUUUUCAGCACUCUGGUUGAGGGUUUCCAGACCCGCUUGUCUGAAGUUGGUGCUUCUGUUCCCCAGCAGACAUGCCUCUCCAUCCCUUUAACUGAGCAGCUUCAUAUCAAGGUUUUGA